rnacentral:rRNA from 1 species
CAAAGGUGAGCCAGUACAGGAUGGACCCGCGUCUGAUUAGCUAGUUGGUAAGGUAACGGCUUACCAAGGCGACGAUCAGUAGCCGACCUGAGAGGGUGAUCGGCCACAUUGGAACUGAGACACGGUCCAAACUCCUACGGGAGGCAGCAGUGGGGAAUAUUGCACAAUGGGCGAAAGCCUGAUGCAGCAACGCCGCGUGAGUGAUGAAGGCCUUCGGGUCGUAAAACUCUGUCCUCAAGGAAGAUAAUGACGGUACUUGAGGAGGAAGCCCCGGCUAACUACGUGCCAGCAGCCGCGGUAAUACGUAGGGGGCUAGCGUUAUCCGGAUUUACUGGGCGUAAAGGGUGCGUAGGCGGUCUUUCAAGUCAGGAGUGAAAGGCUACGGCUCAACCGUAGUAAGCUCUUGAAACUGGGAGACUUGAGUGCAGGAGAGGAGAGUGGAAUUCCUAGUGUAGCGGUGAAAUGCGUAGAUAUUAGGAGGAACGCCAGUUGCGAAGGCGGCUCUCUGGACUGUAACUGACGCUGAGGCACGAAAGCGUGGGGAGCAAACAGGAUUAGAUACCCUGGUAGUCCACGCUGUAAA